rnacentral:misc_RNA from 1 species
GUGAAUCAUCAAAUCUUUGAACGCAAAUUGCACUCCCCUCGGAGAGUAUGGCUGUUUGAGGGUCAGCCUAUAAAAAUCGACAUCGUUGCUGUUUCGCGGUGGCGUUCGUCGUAAAUCGGGACAUCUUGAAUCCUUUUGAUUUAAGCGACUUCAAGUGUUCUUGUGGUUCCGUGAACGUCUCUAUGAUCUAUUUCUUUACACGCUU